GAUGGCGUCCCGCGGGCAGCUGCACAUUCGCAGCAAACCCGGCCGAGCCCCGGACCUUCAAAGGAAGACUGCCAGGGCCUCCUCGAACCGCAAAGAUGACACAAUUGCCUGAGCUCUUGGACAGGGUUGCUCUGGGUGGGGUGUGUACCCAAGGGCGUCUUAGAAGCUGAGGGGGCGUUACUGCAGGGCAGAUGGUGUAGAAAACAGGAAAUAAGCGCCCGAGGUGGGGUGGAACCCCCUCAGGGACUAGAGGUGGCACCGAGAGCAGACCUUCCGUCUGGAUGGGCACAGGGGCAUCUGGCCGAAACGCCCGGCGGCAGCAGCCUCCAGACUUACAUUUUAAUGCAGGAGACCCUCUUCCCUCGGGGCGACAUUACACGGGGCAGAAUCAAAGCAGAGCUCAGGAAGGCCGGCAUCCAGGCGCCUCACGCCGCAGCUCCGCUUCCUCCUCCGCUCUGCUCGGCCCUCUCCGCCCUGGGGUGUGUCUUGGAAGAUGAUUUAAGAAGCGCUGUCUUAGGGCGUAUGUGUUAGAUGCCGUGGGGAGCAACCCUCCUUGUUUAACCAGUGCUGUCCUGAAGGAUCGUGGAGCAGCCGCCGUGGUGACAAGGCUGGCGGCCACUCACUGGGGUGGAAGGAAGCUCGUGGUGCGGCGAGCCAAGAGCAGAAGCAGCAAGCGCUCGUCUGUGUCUGUGCCUGCAGUUCUCCAGGGGCUAUUGCAAGAGCUUAGUGCAGCGAUUGCUGUGUUUGAUCCUCCCAGCAAAACAGGGAACCCUCCACUGCCAUGCGCCCCAUCAGUCUCAUCAACCCGGAAGUAACAGAGACGCAGAGAAGUGAUUGGCCCAGGGUCCGCACGGCCGAGGACACCGAGAGCCAGGACUCGAAGCCCAGAAUUCUGGUUGAGGUGCUCCUGUUUUAGGCAUCUUUCUGCAUUGUCUCUGUGUCACUUUGAAAAACGGUAUCAGCUCUCUAUUCCCAGAUAGGCUUCUGGAAAGAUCUAGACUAAAACAUUAAAAAUGAUUAUGUCUAGAAUUACAGACACAUUUUCCUCUUUUUUGCUUCGUUAUAUUUUUAUACAAUAAAAUGAGUAGUGUUUUGUGGUAAAGUGUAGAUGAUAUUGAGUGAAACUUUUCUUUCUUUCUUUUUUUUUGUGUGUGUUAUUGUCUUUUCUUGGGCCGCUCCUGAGGCAUAUGGAGGUUCCCAGGCUAGGGGUUGAAUCGGAGCUGUAGCCGCCGGCCUACGCCACAGCCACAGCAACGCGGGAUCCGAGCUGUGUCUGCAACCUACACCACAGCUCACGGCAACGCUGGAUCCUUAACCCACUGAGCGAGGCCAGGGAUCGAACCCGCAACCUCAUGGUUCCCAGUCGGAUUCCUUAAGCACUGUGCCACGAUGGGAACUCCGAGUGAAACUUUUCUUCAGGGCAAAGAAGAGACUCUGGCAUCAACCCCACUUGUAAACGCCGUUAAUUCUGAGGCGGAGUGGGAAUCUACUCUGCUCCUAGGUUCCGGUUCUUCUGUGAAGUUUCUCUCUGGCCGCUGAAGGAUGCAAGUAGGAUUCUGGUUUCUCCAUGGUUUCCCGCAUUCUCCGAGCCCAGCCGUCUUUGUCUUGAUGCUUCUGAAGCUGUAGCAGGAUUCCUUGUCCACCGCUGUCCUCUUUCCUCGUGGCAUCUGCAAGGCUCAGGCUGGUCCCUCUCGUCUCUUGUCGCCAUGUUUUCUUCAGGAAACAAAUCCACCCCUGCAGCUUUGGGUGCUGCACCCAGCGCAGGGCAGGCACCCACGCUGGGCAGUGCAACAACGGUGCAUCUCUUGUCGUGACGCAGAAGAAAAAGGCGCCGCCAGCGGAGGAGCAGAGCACGUGAAACAACUUCUAGAAAUAUCC
ensembl:lncRNA